CAGUCGCCACGGGAAUACGUAGGGCGCAAGCGUUAUCCGGAAUUAUUGGGCGUAAAGAGCUCGUAGGCGGUUUGUCGCGUCUGCCGUGAAAGUCCGGGGCUCAACCCCGGAUCUGCGGUGGGUACGGGCAGACUAGAGUGAUGUAGGGGAGACUGGAAUUCCUGGUGUAGCGGUGAAAUGCGCAGAUAUCAGGAGGAACACCGAUGGCGAAGGCAGGUCUCUGGGCAUUAACUGACGCUGAGGAGCGAAAGCAUGGGGAGCGAACAGGAUUAGAUACCCCAGUAGUCCCUGUCUCUUAUAA
rnacentral:rRNA from 1 species